AUUUGAUUUGAUGUUAGGAAGGCAAAUCCGCCGAAUUUAAGCAUAUAAUUAAGCGGAAGAAAAGAAAAUAACAAUGAUUUCUUUAGUAACGGCGAGUGAACAAGAAAAAGCUCAAGGAGAUAAUUCUAUAUCGUAGUUGUAAAAAGACUAUGUGUAUAGAAAUUGUUCUGUUAUAAGGAAGAAGUAAUCUGAGAAUAUAUGGGAUUUAUAUAUAUAUUUAGUUAUCGAAAUAAGUAGGAAUACUUUCCCAUAGAGGGUGAAAGGCCCGUAGUUAAUAAAUAUAUAAAGUUCUUUUUUUUUGGAUAAUUUUUUUUUUUAAAGAGUAGUGCUCUUUGAGAUUGGAGUACAAAGAUGUGUGAUACAUUUCACAUAAGGCUAAAUAUAUAUAGGAGACCGAUAGCAAACAAGUACCGUGAGGGAAAGAUGAAAUAGUACUCAGGAAUGAGCAGUUAAAUAGUACCUGAAAUCGUUAAGGUGGAACGGAUUAAGAAAGGAAAAUGUAAGAAGAUAGUAAAUAUUACUCGGCGAGUUUUAUUAAGAUACGAUUUUUUUAUAAAAAGAAACAUGAGUGAACGAGAAUAAAUUAUAAUAUAAUUAUAUUAGAUAGGUAUAGAAUAGAUACACAGGACUAAGGGGGGAGGAGUAGUAAGAAAAAGGGUGCAGUGUAAAAGGGUUAUGCUUGUAUGUUUGAGUAUUCACUGCUUCUUUUUUUUUUUUCUGUAAUUUUAUAUCUAUUUAAUUAAAGUAUCCUUAGCUAAUAAUAAUUUAUGAAGGAAGAACUUAAUUUAUAUGAGUUUUAAAAGGCAUGAUUAUAUUGUAUAUUAUAUGAUAUAUAUAUAAUUAUGUUUUAACCGAAAUGCGUAUAAUUAUUCUGUUUACUGAGGAAAGAGGUAAACAAUAGUGUGAACUAAGAAUGGGAUAUUUCUUUUUUCUGAUUGUAAGUUGUUUUUAAAUAGUACUUUUUUAACCCACUCGUCUUGAAACACGGACCAAGGAGUCUAACAAAUGUGCGAGCGUAUGUGAUAUGAAUAAAAACAUAUAUAAAUUUUUAGUUACGCGUAAUUAAUGUGAAUUUUUUGUGGAUGCGCCGGACAAUAGUGCAUUUGGUUUCUGGCUUGCAAACAAUACCGAUAAGCAAUAAGAUAAUUAAGUUUAUUUGAGUAUGAGUACAUUUGUUAGGACCCGAGAGGCUUUGAACUAAGCGUGAUGAGAUUGAAGUCAGACGAAAGUCUGAUGGAGGAUCGAGUUGAUACUGACGUGCAAAUCGUUCAUUACAAUCACGUUUAGGGGCGAAAGACUAAUCGAAAAGCCUAUUAGCUGGUUAUUUUCGAAAGAUCUCUCAGGAUCGCUGGAGUUGAGUUGAUUAUAAUUUUAUAAGGUAGAGACAAUGAUUAGAGGGUUUAGGGGAUUAAAUAUUUCUUAACCUAUUCUCAAACUUCCAAUAUGUAAAGAGGGUGCGAUAUCUGAAAAGUAUUUCACUUUGGCGUAAAUAAGAUAACUCCAAGUGGGCCAUUUUUGGUAAGCAGAACUGGCGAUGAGGGAUGCUCCUAACGCCUGGAUAAGGUGCCUAAAUAUUCGCUCAUGAGAUCCCAUAAAAGGUGUUGGUUCAUAAUGACAGUAGGACGAUGGUCAUGGAAGUCGAAAUUCGCUUAGGAGUGUGUAACAACUCACCUACCGAAUGAACUAGCCCUGAAAAUGGAUGGGCUAAAGCGAAUUACCGAUACCGGGCCAUAAGAAGGUAGAAAUUAUAAAUGUUAAUUUAGCUCAGAUCUUUUUAUGAGUAGAAAAUCGUGGGGUUUGUGUUGAAGCGAAAUACGUGAGUUUUCGUGGAACAUCUCCCUAGUGCAGAUCUUGGUGGAAGUAGCAACUAUUCAAAUGAGAACUUUGAAGACUGAAGUGGAGAAGGGUUUCUUGUCAACUAUGUUUCUACAAGAGUUAGCCACUCCUAAGGGAUAGCUGAAAAGUGUUUAAAAGAAGUAAGAUAUUAUAUGGAAAUAUAUAAUUAGAUCUUCGUCUCAAAAGGGAAACAGGUUAAUAUUCCUGUGCCAAAUAGAAGUAAGGGUGUGAAUAAAGAAAGAUGGUAACAUACAUACAAAUGAACUCCUUGACAUAGGUUUUACGCUCGGGGUGCGUUAUCUUUGCACUUUAAUUUUAUAGCAAACCUUGGAAUCAAUUUAUUUGGAGAAGAGGUUUGUUGAACUCAAUUCAAAAAAUUUAUGGCUGGGUUUUCGGAUUCAGUUCAUUUUAUUUUUUGUUUUGUAGCAAUAGUAAUUCGUUUUUAUGAAUUAUCCGAAGUGGUAAAAACUAUCCUUGAAAAAAGGAGGGAACGGAGCAUAUACAGAAGGGAAUUUAAUUAUUUUUUUUUUUGAGUUACCUUCUUAUGUGAAAUACUCUUAUAUUCAAUCAAUAAUGAGUGUACCCAAUAACCGCAUCAGGUCUCCAAGGUUAGUAGCCUCUGGUUAAAUAGAAAAAAGUAAGUAAGGGAAGUCGGCAAAAUAGA
rnacentral:rRNA from 1 species